ACCUUUGUGGUGUAGUGGUCAGCCCGCUCGACGCGUAACCGAGAGGUCCGUGGUUCGAUUCCCUGCGAAGGCG
rnacentral:tRNA from 1 species